GAUAAGAAUGUCCCUUUGUGUGCAGUGACACUUACAACCUUGCAUGCAGCGACCUGAACCAACUCCCAUAAAAACCCAAUCAACUCUGUAGGAUAAUAAUUCACCCUGCCUUCAUCUUUUAAUGGGGACAGGGAAGUAAUUGGAAAACAAAUGGUCAGACAAAGUAAAUUUGUGGAGGAUGAAAAAGUGACAGACUUGUGGGACUUAUACAAGAGAAGCCAAGCAGCUGAGUGAUUGCACUAGAAAUCCCAAUAUAAGGAAACUGAGGUCCAGCUUUCAAACUUUUAAAAGCCCAAGCUGAGCCCUGACUGGGUGAAGGCCAGCAGUAAGCCGUGCCAUGCCUCAUUAUGCCUGACGUGAACACGACAGCAGAGCGACAGCAGGACACACAUCCAUAUGUACAGGUCCCCUUGGGGACAAGAUUACAAGAAGUCGUCACAGCGGACAUUAUUCAGUGCAGCAAGCCAGUUGGACGAAGCAGAGGAAGAAGAACAGAGAGAAAGAAGCCACACACAUUUGCUGUUGCCUUUGAACUUUCAUAAUGAAACUGACUCCUUGAAGUUUUAAUGAAAGCAACAAUUUACCAUUCCCUUUUCUCCCUGGGCUGCUGAGGCUG